rnacentral:lncRNA from 1 species
AGAAACUUAUAAGAACAGAAUACCAACUGGAUUGUUUGUGUUGUAGGUCAAAAGUAUGAUUUCCAAAAACAUUCUUCAUGAAGCGUCGCGGUUGGCACCUCGCCUCCAUUUGUCAUCUUUGCUCUAGGGAGGAAGUUCUUCAUGAAGCGUCGCGGUUGGCACCUCGCCUCCAUUUGUCAUCUUUGCUCUAGGGAGGAAGUUCUUCAUGAAGCGUCGCGGUUGGCACCUCGCCUCCAUUUGUCAUCUUUACUCUAGGGAGGAAGAGACUUUGCUCACAUCUUUCAAGGUUGUUCUUACACACAAGAAGUGUGGAGUAGUAUCAGAG